rnacentral:rRNA from 1 species
UACAGAGGUCCCAAGCGUUGUUCGGAUUCACUGGGCGUAAAGGGUGCGUAGGUGGCCGGUUAAGUCUGACGUGAAAUCUCCGAGCCUAACUCGGAAACUGCAUCGGAAACUAUCCGGCUCGAGGGUUGGAGGGGGGACUGGAAUACUUGGUGUAGCAGUGAAAUGCGUAGAUAUCAAGUGGAACACCAGUGGCGAAGGCGAGUCCCUGGACAACUCCUGACACUGGGGCACGAAAGCUAGGGGAGCAAACAGG